rnacentral:lncRNA from 1 species
AAUGAGACCCUCCACCCAGAUGAGCAUGAGCCCAGCCAGGGUGGGCUGUUCAGUUUCUUCCCUGGGAAUCUGGAGCUGGAUUGAGCUGGUCUGCAGCCUGGUCUGAGAGCCCAGCAGGCUCGAGACACUGCAACCUGGCCUGGCCGUGGGCAGGCAGGGAGUGGAGGUUGCGGCAUCGUCUGGGCAGAGGAGCUGGGGCGUUUGCCAGAAGUCUCCAACGGGCCAUCUGGUCCCAGAGAGCAGAGCACACAGCCUCAAGAAAUACGAGAAAGGCGGCAGGGGCAGAGUGGACACAACCUGAAAACCAACUGGACUGAGCAUCCUUCUCCUAAAAUCUCAGCCAGAAGCCACGAUGGAGGGUCCUGGGAAGGGAAGAGAUGUGAAGAUUUCUGUGAUUCUAAAACCUUGGGUCUGCCUGCAAACUUCUCUCUGAUCCCAGCCGAGAGCUGUGCACACGCUAGCUAGCCCUGUCACACAAUAGCCCAGUGUUCCCGUCACAGUGCCUGGGAAUGAGAGGCUUUUGAGGCCACAGAGCUAUGACAAGUCCCCAGGUUGAAUUGACUCUGGGAGGACAAAUUUCUGAGAGACUCACGGGACCCUUAUCCAGGACAACCUCACAAAGAUCCCUGAAACUGAGCUUCCUCUGCUUCGUGCAUAGUUUGAGGUAUAAACUUUCCUUGUGUCUCGGUCAGAUGAAGUGAAGGAUGAAUAUUAUCCCAGGCUAAAGUAACGAAAAGUCCAGAAGCCAGCGAUGACAGAGAUGUGUGUGGAAGAAGGCUGUGAGCAUUUCCAUCAAACCCUGUGAGUUUCCGAAGAUCUUAUCCCGAAGAUAUGUGUUUGGCCAAUAAAACACUGAAUAAAAAUCCAUCAUGUUUCCAGAGCCAAGUCGACUUCUGCUGGGCUGGGGUGAGGCAGAGGCAGAAUCAGACCUUAUAAAGAUGUUUUGAAUAGCGGCUGUUCUGGGAUCGCAGCCCAGUGACAGUGAAUGCUUUCUGAGUUCUCGGAUGAGAAGGAACAGAGUGACAGACUGACCAUAACUGGCCACUGU